rnacentral:rRNA from 1 species
AUUGAACGCUGGCGGCAGGCCUAACACAUGCAAGUCGAGCGGAGCGGCGGAAGGGUGAGCAAUGCCUAGGAAUCUGCCUGGUAGUGGGGGACAAAGACCGGAAACGGGCGCUAAUACCGCAUACUAUCAGAUGAGCCUAGGUUGGAUGUGCUAGUUGGAGGGGGAACGGCCUACCAAGGCGACGAUCCGUAUCUGGUCUGAGAGGAUGAUCAGUCACACUUGAGCUGAGACACGGUCCAGGCUCCUAAGGGGGGCAGCAUUGGGGAAUAUUGGACAAUGGACGAAAGCCUUAUCCAGCCAUGCCGCGUGUGUGAAGAAGGUCUUCGGAUUGUAAAACACUUUAUGUUGAGAGGCGUUACCAACAGAAUAAGCACCGGCUAGCUUCGUGCCAGCCGCCGCGGUAAUAC